GAAUGCGGACAUCUGCGUCCACUCCUCAAAUGCAUCCCUUUUCCAGCACCCGGACACCCCCCCUGGCACGCCACCAGCUUGUGCAGAAGUGACUUACUGCUCUGUGCUGGCAUCAUGAAUCCUUUUAUCCCUCCGUGCCCACGCAGAGGGGCUGGAAGAAGCUGCCUGGGCAGAUCCUUCUGCUUGUUCUCAGCCCUGUGAAAAGGCUUAUAUCCACAACAAUUUGAAUUAAUUUUUCAAGCAAGAUACCACAAGACCAAGAUACUAUUAAAGGCUUUGCUAGAAAUCAGGGUUCAUUAGAACACACCCGGCUGCCGUUCCCUCCCCUGUGCAUUCUGCCCUUCAAUAAAAAGACAAAAGACAAAGAGAGUUUUACCUGCCAGGGCUUUGGUGUUUAAGCCAAAGGACGUGCGUGGCUGUAGGGAAACUGAUCCCUAACAUGCCACAGCAAUGAGAAGGCUUUUG